rnacentral:rRNA from 1 species
CAGCAGUGAGGAAUCUUGCGCAAUGGGGGCAACCCUGACGCAGCCACGCCGCGUGCUGGAAGACGGCCCUAUGGGUUGUAAACAGCUUUUGGUCGGGAAGAACCCGGGUCUUUCGAGGCCCGCUGACGGUACCGAUUGAAUAAGCACCGGCUAACUCCGUGCCAGCAGCCGCGGUAAUACGGAGGGUGCAAGCGUUGUCCGGAAUUAUUGGGUGUAAAGGGUGUGCAGGCGGAAGUCUAAGUCGGAGGUGAAAUCUUGCCGCUUAACGGUAAAAGGGCCUUCGAUACUGGAUUUCUUGAGUUCGGAAGAGGUUGGUGGAAUUCGUGGUGUAGCGGUGAAAUGCAUAGAUAUCACGAAGAACACCGGUGGCGAAGGCGGCCAACUGGUCCGAUACUGACGCUGAGACACGAAAGCGUGGGGAGCGAACAGGAUUAGA